GCGCCUAUUGUCUAAUGGUCUAUGACAUCAGACUUCUACCGAUUUCAUUGAUAUCUGGUAUCUGGGGGUUGCAGGUUCGAGUCCCGCUAGGCAUU